rnacentral:rRNA from 1 species
CACGUAGGGUGCGAGCGUUGUCCGGAAUUAUUGGGCGUAAAGAGCUCGUAGGCGGUGUGUCGCGUCGGCCGUGAAAACCUGCAGCUUAACUGUGGGCUUGCGGUCGAUACGGGGCAGACUAGAGUGUGGUAGGGGGAGACUGGAAUUCCUGGUGUAGCGGUGAAAUGCGCAGAUAUCAGGAGGGAACACCGGUGGGCGAAGGCGGGGUCUCUGGG